AGUCGACGGUAACAUGAGUAGCAAUACUUGAUGACGAGUGGCGCACGGGUGCGUAACACGUAUGCAACCUUCCUUCAACUGGAGAAUAGCCCGAAGAAAUUCGGAUUAACUCUCCAUAGUAAAACAGAACGGCAUCGUUUUGUUUUUAAACCUCCGGGGGUUGAAGAUGGGCAUGCGUUGCAUUAGCUAGUUGGCGGGGUAAAAGCCCACCAAGGCUACGAUGCAUAGGGGAUCUGAGAGGACUAACCCCCACACUGGUACUGAGACACGGACCAGACUCCUACGGGAGGCAGCAGUAAGGAAUAUUGGACAAUGGGGGCAACCCUGAUCCAGCCAUGCCGCGUGAAGGAUGAAGGCGCUAUGCGUUGUAAACUUCUUUUGAACGGGAGAAAACCCACCUACGUGUAGGUGGCUGAUAGUACCGUUAGAAUAAGGAUCGGCUAACUCCGUGCCAGCAGCCGCGGUAAUACGGAGGAUCCAAGCGUUAUCCGGAUUCAUUGGGUUUAAAGGGUGCGUAGGCGGACUGAUAAGUCAGCGGUGAAAUCUCUCGGCUUAACCGAGAAACUGCCGUUGAUACUGUCAGUCUUGAGUACAGAUGAUGUGGGCGGAAUAUGACAUGUAGUGGUGAAAUACUU
rnacentral:rRNA from 1 species